AAAUAUAUACUCACUGGCGCAGUGUGACGUCGCAUCAAAACACGUAUACGACUUGAUGGACAGCCAGAAAUAUGCAAACUAGGAAAAACUGGCUUGUGUCACGACGACUAUUGUUAUUGGCUAACGGUAGAUAUGCAGGAAUAUCACUAAUGCAAACUGUGGCGAAUUAUGUAUUAUAUUUUCUUUGCUGCAAUCCCAUUAGACAACUAGAAAACAGACGUCAACUGCAGCGUGUUGCAUUGGUUGUUGCAGCAAAGUGAAAAGGUUCAAGUUGAGGGUCGUUACAUGUCAUGAUGGGAGAAAAGGGCAAAGCUUGUUGCAUGCCAGCGUGUGGCAUGCAUCGGCCGCAAGGCCUAUCAGAUGUUUUUUUUUUUUGUCUUUCUAUUUUCUAUUUAUAGCAUUAUAAAUAUUCAACGGCGAGCGGCAAUAACUGUACAUUUAAGCAAGCCACAAUAAGAA